ACGCUCGACACCUACGGGGCAGCAGUCGGGAAUAUUGCGCAAUGGAGGAAACUCUGACGCAGUGACGCCGCGUAUGGGAAGAAGGUUUUCGGAUUGUAAACCAUUUUAGACAAGGAAGAAACAAGACAGUACUUGUAGAAUAAGCUCCGGCUAACUACGUGCCAGCAGCCGUGGUAAUCUGAGCGGGCUGGCAAGGC
rnacentral:rRNA from 1 species